UACGGAGGGUGCACGCGUUAUCCGGAUUCACUGGGUUUAAAGGGUGCGUAGGCGGAUAGGUAAGUCCGUGGUGAAAUCCUGCAGCUUAACUGCAGAACUGCCAUGGAUACUAUUUAUCUUGAAUAUCGUGGAGGUUAGCGGAAUAUGUCAUGUAGCGGUGAAAUGCUUAGAUAUGACAUAGAACACCCAUUGCGAAGGCAGCUAACUACGCGAUAAUUGACGCUGAUGCACGAAAGCGUGGGGAUCAAACAGG
rnacentral:rRNA from 1 species